rnacentral:ncRNA from 1 species
AGGUCCACCGCGAGGCGUGACGACUCGCGCACCAGCCGUCCCGGAACACGAUCAUCUCCGGUAACUCAUAGGGGUGAAGGGCAUCGAUCGCACAACCUGGACAUGAACACCCGACCUAGGCUCGCGUCACCACGCCAGACAUGACGGCCCUCGUCCGGGAUGCCGGUCCCGUCCGAGGGCCUGACCGAAAAGGAAGGAAAGAGCUUCCUU